rnacentral:lncRNA from 1 species
GAAUCUGUCGAGGAGGAGCUGUCGGGCGACGUGACUGAUGGAGAGAAGUGUGGGCAGGCGGAACCUCUGGGCUCCAAGUACCCACACGUCUUCAAGUCCCUGCAGCAAGUCUUUGAGUGCGCCUACGCUCAGCUCGUCCUGCCUUGGUACAGCGUCCCGGAGCCCCGCGAGGCCCAGCCGCUGCACCGGGUGCUCAGCAGGGAGGUGGACGUGGUGAUCGACCGCAUCAUCGAGAGAGCGCGACACUUUGACGUGUGCCAGGCGGUCGUGGGUUCCAUUCGCAUUCUGACGCAACAUUUGCAUAAUGCAAAGCAGCCUGACAGGUGAGACUUUUUACUGACUGGCUGCUCCAGUUACUCUGAGCGGAGCGUUUAAACUCUAUAAAUACCUCCAUAUUUCUUCACUGGCUAUGAAUAAUUGACUUGGUUUUAACAAGUUUGUACCUGUAGUGACUUCUCAGUAUUUGGAGAGUCAUAAACCCCCAUUAGAUGAAUGAUUCCAUCUCUUAACAUAUGGCCGUAAAUAUUCAUGUACAAAAAAUUCCUGUUUUCUGUUUUUUUUUCUUGUGCAGAGAACUCUUGUUCACUUCCAGAACUGAAGAGAUUACAGUUCUUAGAGAGUUUUCUGAUGCUCUGGUACGUAACCUUUUCUCCAAAUCUCUGUGGAGCCAUGAAGUCCACCGCUGUGCCUUGAAUGAAAUAGUUGCUACAAAGGGUUUGGGCUUAAUAGUGAGGUGGCUCUCAGACCCCGACAACCUGAACCAGCUGGUGGUCAGCCAGCUGGACAGAGUGACCCCCAAAAGCUCAGUGGAGGACCUGUGUGGGUCCGAUCUGGAUUUGACCUCUCUGGCGUCGCAGGAGGGCGACGGCAGUGAAGUGAGCUUUGAGGAAUCAGGUUUAUCAACCAGCACCAAGACCAAGACCAAAACUAGAGCCAACAAGAUAAAACAAGGAUGGUCAAAAAUGGUCGACAAGAUGAAAUCCAAGAGAGCCAAGAAGAAAAAGAUGAAGAUGAUGGAGGCGGAGCUGGUGAUGCGAAUCAUGGCGCGCCAGGAAAACGAGGAGGACGUCAGCAGCAGGGAGGGCUCCAUUCACAGUCUGCAGGACUCUGACAGGGAGGACAGCGAUCUGGAGAAUUACAUGACAAGUGUCCAGGAAGACAUGAUGGAAUUCAAGCUGUCGUACGAGAUGUGGCGCGUGGGCCGCUGGGCUGUCAGCAUUCCUCAAGCCGGUCUGGAGGAUGAGGAGCUGACCUUCACCGUGCACGUGGAGGAGGAGGAGAGCCCAGAGAACCUGCAGUGGGACAUCAAGAAGACCUACAUGGACGUUAUCCACUUCCGGAACAGGUGGCAGGACUCGACGAGCUUGCCAAGCAUUACAGCGCUGGCGUCUGAGCUGGAGGUCACCGCCGAGGUCACCGCCGAGGUCACCGCCGAGGUCACCGAAGACACCAGAGCAGCUGUGGAACGCUUCCUGCAGGAAUUAGUUUCUGAUCAUGUGAUCGGACACACUCAGCCGGUCUUCCAGUUCCUCUGCCCUCUUGACACACUGCUGAAUGAAGAUGAGCACUAUGGAGGCGUUUGGGGCCUCCUCAGCGGUUUGGCCUACUUCCUGACUCCAGGUCAGGAGGAAGAAGAGAGCUCCAGUCCUCAGUCAGAGGGGGUGAAAGAAAGACCCUCUUUAAAUCCAGAAUCCACUGACCCUCCUGAGAUCCCAGGAACCUCUUCAGGGAAGAGCAACGGCGUUCCAGGCGCUACGAUCCCGACUAUAAUCGUCUCGGAGUAUGAACCUGUUCCAGAGCAGGUGGAGGAAACGAAGCCUGAGCAGGAGCCUCGGUCAGCAGGAACCUGCUCGGAGGAUAAAACGGAGGAUUCUGACAAUCCCCUGACCCACUUUAAAAUGAUAUUUAAAGGACUGAGCAGGUCCCGCUCUCAAGAGUCCUUGAGCAAAACCACCAGCGAAGAAGACCCGCCCCAGCCGGACGUCUCGCCACGCUGCGGCCAGAACGGCGCGAUCCGUGGGGAAACCUCUGAAGGCUCUGCCUGGCGUCACUUCAAUUCGCGUUUAAACAAAAAGGAGAAAACGACGUUCAAGGUGUUGGGUGGAGCCACCAAGGCUAAAGGCAGAGAAGGUGGGACUUUGCCAAGAGGGGAAGACUCCCAGUGUCAAAAAAGCCAGGUCAACUGGGAGCAAAUGGAGGCGACCAAAGCCAUAUUUGAUCUGCUAAAGGAAAUAUCUGGAAACUCCAUCCUUCUCAACAUAUUCGAUGCCAUUCUGAAACCCGUCAUGCCCAUCCUGAAAAAGAAAGUGAACUCCUUCCUGGACAAGAUGAACCCCACCGAAGCGCAGAUGGCCUCUUACAUCGACCUGAUGUGUGGGAAACUGUGGCCGGAGCCUCCUUCAGCGGCAGCUGCUGCCCCUCGCACCGAGGAGGAGAAGAGCGAGAGCAGGGAGAGAGCUCACGGUCUCAUCAGUGCCAGAUAUUCCAACUACAUCAUCCUGAAGAAGACGGAUAUGGAAACUGUUUUUAACAUCUUCCAAAACUGUGAGGAGAAUAAAACACUGGUGUAUAUGCUCCUGUCAUUCCUGUUGAGGGAACUAUUUCCUGAUGAACACUCCCUGAAUCUGAGCGCGGCUGCCCUUCAGAAGGGAACCAGCUGCACACACUGACCUGUGAAGUCAUCACGACGCAUUUUAAUGCCACUCUUUAGAAACAUUUUAGUGUAUUUAUCAGACAUCUCAACUAUCUGUGACCACUUCUAAAUCAUUGCCACGUAUUUUAUAUCUAUCUAUAUAUUUUUUAAACUUAGACAUACUGUGAACGUUUUAUUUUCCAUUUCAUGUGUGAAGUCAAACAUUCCUGCUGUUGCUCUCGUGCCUGGUUGUUUUUAUAAAGCAUCUCAUAUUUACAUUUCUCACGUCACAUUUUCAUGUAUAGAAUUUCUACAUUUUAUAAUGUUUUUCCCCACUCUGAGCACUUGGGGGGGUUGUUUUCUUUAGCUUUUUUAAAAAUACAAAUAUUUACAGAAAUCUCACCAAAUCACCUGAAAUGUGGACUUGAUGUCAGAAGAAACUUGAAAUUGUUUUAUAAAUGAAUUCCAAAUAAAAUAUUUUAAGAAAACACUCCAUGUUUAUUUUGCAGUAAAUGUGUUUGUUGUCUUAUUUACUCUGAGGCAAUAUUUGAAUAAAGAUAUGAAGUAAACAAGUUAAUCCUAAAGGGACAUGCUGAAGAGGAAGCACUGAUGAAACCAUUAAAAUAAAAAGUUCUGGAUAUAUAAACAGGUUCUAAUUUUCUGCUGAAAUAAACUGAAAUGAAAUAAAUAUGUUAAAUAAUGCAUAUCCCUGGACCAGUAGGAAUUGGUUUAUAGAAAAUAAGAGCAGCUGUGUUUCUAUAAGUCUUAAUGGAAAUGUCUCUAAUCCCUAUGUUAUCUCAUUAUGGAAGCAAAACAUUAUCUCUCUGCGUGCUUCUUUUAGCAAAGCUGCAGAAUCCCGCAGAACCAAACACGUUACGUGGAGAGGCAGGUCCUGUCAGUGUGAGUGAUGUCUUCAUACUCUCAGUGAAGCAGUGGACUUGAAAGAAAUGUAAAACAAGCAUCAGCAGACAGAGACUUCAGAC